CAUUGAUAUCUAGUAAAACCAGAACUCACUUUCGGGGUCUCAAAACAGAGCAGAUCUCUAAGUGCUUGUGGAGGACGGGUCAACCGGUGUUCGGUGAGUAUUUUUUUCCUGUGGGUCUUCACUACCCAGUCCGCCACACUAUUACUGUUUCUAUUACAAUAUAACAGCUUUAAAUUAGAAAAUGAAGACAGCAGCCCACGUGCUUCGCUGAUGAGAGCACGUUGUUCCCACGGCGAUUUUUGUGUAUACUUCAAGCUGUUGACUAGAUUCUGGCAGUCUGACUCCAGAGUCAGUCUUUCGCCCACACGAGGAGAGAGGAAUUUCAGGGUUUCCACCAUGGCUAGGCUUUCUGCUUGCUCGGUGGAGGAGACGAGGACGUCCUUUGCGAAGCCGUUGAUCAAGAUCCCAGCUGAGUUGCGGCACACACAGGCAAUUGAUCCUUCAAAUGAUCCAGGUUGCAACUUUGGGUCCAGGAGGUGCCUUCUAAAGACGAGGUUGUUCCUUGCUUUCCAGAUUUCCUAGAGAACUACCGAGACUAGCUCAAAAUCUAGUGAGUUGUUGCUGUUGGGUAUGUAUUUGAUCAGCCAUUUGUCUAUUCUGGAAGUUUGGUA